CACCGGAAUGGAAGUGGUGAAGGACAUGACAAUCAUCGAAAUCGCAGUGAUGAUAUAGAAAAUGGUGACCGUAUACUUGCCGAACCAUUUAGCGAUUUUUUC
rnacentral:rRNA from 1 species